rnacentral:misc_RNA from 1 species
GAGACAAGCAUAUGACUACUGGCAGGAUCAACCAGGUAGCAGUCCUCCGCGACGCCGCCCGUCGCCCCCUCACCGCCGGGGCGGGUCACGGGGCGAGGGCGGCCGUCAUACAUUAUACAUCGAGGCUUUCUCGUGGGACUUGGACCUAGUCCUCGUCCGCGGCGUGCACUGGGUCCGAGAGAAUCGCACGUCCCCGCGUGCCACGCGACCGGUGAGGGACCGGUGGAACACGGGGGGCGCUUCACUGUCCUCCUGCGCCCUUCGCAAGGCGCCGGAUGGAGGCUAACCGUCAGGUGGCCUGCUUCCCCCGGAGGGGUAGGCGGCACAAGAACCAUCCUCUGGGGCGCGCUCCCGCCCCACAUCUCGCGACGCGGAUUGCCUGCGGGCCGUUCGGUGGACGAGCACGGAGCCAGCCGGCAGAGACAAUCCAAACACCAC